rnacentral:tRNA from 1 species
GGGUCUGUAGCUCAGUGGUAGAGCAACUCCCUCUUAAGGAGAUGGUCAUGGGUUCGAAUCCCUUCAGACCCA